CCUGGUGGCUUAGAUGGCAAAGAAUCUGCCUGCAGUGCAGAAGACCCAGGUUCGAUCCCUGGGUCAGGA
rnacentral:tRNA from 1 species